AUGUCGGACGAAGAUGGCGACCCCGACUGGCUUACUGCCUUCAAGGCACCAAGUACUGCACCGGUGAUGCUUUCUUCUGAUUCCGAUCGUUCUCGUGGAAAUAGCCCUACAAGAACUGGUGCAUCUGAACAAGAAGAAAAGGCUCCGAGGAAGAAGUUGAUGCUCUCAUCUGAUUCUGAAGCUUCUCCUGGAAACAGCCCUUCAAGGGCUGGUGACGCUGAUGAAGAAGAGGACUCACUUGCCAAUACCAGGAAAAAAGAUGAUCAGCAAUCUAAGGGUAAAAAAACAAAGGUUGCUGCAAGAAAAGUUCCUGCGAAAAGAGAUGAUACCUUGGAACAACCCGAAGAUGAAGCUAAUGAGGAAAAAAUGCAGGACAAGCUUGCGGAUAAUUCUGUCUCCCAGAGGUUGCCAUUGACCAUUGCUGAUAAAGUUCAACGUUCAAAGGCAUUGGUUGAAUGUGAUGGUGACUCGAUAGACUUGAGCGGAGAUAUUGGAGCUGUCGGCAGGAUAGUAAUUUCAAAUGGUCCGACUGGAAAUCAUGAUUUGUUACUGGACCUGAAAGGAACUGUGUACAAAUCAACUAUAGUGCCAUCCAGGACAUUUUGUGUGGUCAGCGUGGGACAAACAGAAGCAAAGAUUGAGGCUAUCAUGAAUGACUUCAUUCAGUUGGAACCUCACUCCAAUUUAUUUGAAUCAGAGACUAUGAUGGAAGGUACCCUUGAUGGAUUCACAUUUGAUUCAGAUGGAGAGGGUGAUAGGCUUCAUGAACUUAACGCUUCUCAGAAUGAUCCAAACAAUGAGAAUGAAGAUCAACCUAAGGGGAAAACCAAAAGGAAAGCAACCGUGAAGCCAGCGGCAAAGGGACAGAAGAAGGCAAAGGUUGCUAAGAAGGGAACAAGGAAAACCCAAACAACGAAGAGAGCGAAGAAGGCAAAGAAAUAG
rnacentral:rRNA from 1 species